UGAGGAACAUGACCUUCGGCGGGGGAGUAGCCGGCCCAACGGCCGGGUAAUACCGCGUACGACCACUUUGGGACAUCCCUAGGUGGUGAAAGCAGCAAUGCGCCGAUGGAGUGCCUCGCGGCCUAUCAGCUAGUUGGUGAGGUAACGGCUCACCAAGGCGACGACGGGUAGCUGGUCUGAGAGGAUGGCCAGCCACAUUGGGACUGAGACACCGGCCAGACCUCCGUACGGGAGCAG
rnacentral:rRNA from 1 species